rnacentral:rRNA from 1 species
GUGCCAGCAGCCGCGGUAAAACGUAGGAGGCGAGCGUUAUCCGGAUUUACUGGGCGUAAAGCGCACGCAGGCGGCUCUGUGAGUCGGACGUGAAAGCUCUCGGCUUAACCGGGAGAGGUCGUUCGAUACUGCAGGGCUUGAGGUAGGGAGAGGAAUGCGGAAUUCCCGGUGUAGUGGUGGAAUGCGUAGAUAUCGGGAGGAACACCUGUGGCGAAAGCGGCAUUCUGGCCCUCACCUGACGCUGAGGUGCGAAAGCGUGGGUAGCAAACAGGAUUAGAUACCCUGGUAGUCC